rnacentral:lncRNA from 12 species
GCCGGAAGCCGGAAGCAGGAAGCUGCCUUGAAUUGCCGUUGCCGCCCUGAGGGCGGGGGCCGUUGGCUGACGAGGAAACCUGCGGAGAGAGGAGCAAACCCGAGCGACGGAUUCAGACAGGGCCCCGGAUGCAGGCAUAUAAGGAAGCUUGGGAUCACAAAAGGGGAUCUGAAGAAUCAGCUGCUGAAGGAUAAGGAAGAAAUCCAAACUCUUCUCUCAUGGGAGCAAAAUCCUUCCACUGCUGUGGCAGAGGUAAGACCAUGGCCAGAAUUUUGUACCCUUGUCAUGACACAAAGCAGAGCUGCUGGAGGAGGGCAGAUCAGUCCCUUGCCCACGAACCCCCGUUCUUACAAGAGAGGGGGAGAUGGGAGGAAAGCUGAGAAAACCCCACUCUGAAGCUGAACCUUAUUCUUGAGAUUGCCCCAGAACAAAGAAAUUUCUCUGCCUCUCAUGAGCUUUGCAUCAAAUAAUAAGCAACAGCAGUCAGCUGCUGGUGUAGCUUCCUAGCUUCAGAAGCGGAGACCCUCUGUUGUCACACCCAC